GGGCCUGUGGUCUAGGGGUUAUGACGUCGCCUUCACACGGCGGAGGUCGCCGGUUCAAAUCCGGCCGGGCCCACCA
rnacentral:tRNA from 1 species